rnacentral:lncRNA from 1 species
UCCCAAUCGAACGGCCUCCAACCCAGCUUCCAUUCUAGGCUGGUAGCAGCCCCCCUAGCGCCGCCGUGAGAGAGCGGUGCCGCCCGAAAGGAUAGGCUGCCCCGAACUUCCGGUCGCCGGAACUCCCUCCUCCGGCCACCAAUCCGGGCAAGCUUGGUACGGUUUUGUAGCCCUCCUCCCGUGCAGCAACCCCUCCAAGCAGCUCCCUCCCUGUUGAGCUAGGUAAGGAGAAAUGUGGAGUUGAAAUUUCUAGGGCUUUUAAGUUGUUUUCAUUCGAUUAGCCUAGUUAGGCUUGGAAUUGGGUGAUGUGUUGGUCAUGAAAGUUGUAGAGCAUGAUGAGAGGAUUAUUCUGUCAAAAUUUCAUAGGUUUUGGAGGUCGCCGGAAUUGGCCUCCGGCCGCCGCCGGUUAGGAGAUUUUUAGGGUUUUAAGUGUGGAAUAUUAAGAGGAGUAUAUUGAUGUGAUUUAUGGAAUUUUUGGAUGAGAUUUGGAUAGGUUUGUGAAUUUCCGAAGUUUGGUAUUUUUGGCGGGUAAUUAAUGUAGAAUCCGGCCGUAGGAUUUAAGUCGUAUUUUGGAGAGGUUGUAUUUAUGACUGUUGAGUAUUAUAUUUGGAACAGGACGUGAGGAGGCUCGAGCAGACGAGGCCCCAGAUCGACAUCAGGCUUAGGCCAAAUUUGUGAGUGGACGUUUAUUUUCAAUAAAUGCAUGCUAUAGUUCAUGGUUGAACAAUUAAUGUCGUGGAGUAUUUUGAUGUCAUUUUAAUUUUUGACGAUUUUUAUUUCUCUUGGAGAGACACCGAAAAUGGGAUUUUCGGUGGAUAUAAAUAUGUAUUUAUGAGAGAGUAUGUAUAGAAAAUGCUAGCUAGCCAUAUGUGUCUGUCCACCUUAAUGGCGUAGCAUAUAGCCGCAUUAUGGUGUGACGUGAGCGUUGGACGUAAGCGUAGUAGCCUUAUUUGAGUGUUUAAUUCAUAUAGGGGGUAUGGACACAUAUUUAUACACCCGUCUGUCCACCUUGAUGGCGUAGUGUAGCACCGCAUUAAGGCGUGACGUGAGCGUUGGACGCGAGCGUAGUAGCCCUAUAUAGAACCAUGAAUUUAUAUAGGGAGUAUGGACGAGUGUAAAUACAUACAUAUAUUAUAGAGUCUGAGAGGCUCGAUAUUUUAUGGGAUAAAAGUUUUAUCGCUUG